rnacentral:rRNA from 1 species
AACGAACGCUGGCGGCGUGCUUAACACAUGCAAGUCGCGUGCGCAGUUUCCGUAGCAAUACGGGGAUGGGCGCACGGCGCACGGGUGCGUAACACGUGGGCAAUCUGCCCUCCGAUGGGGAAUACCCCCGCGAAAGCGGGACUAAUUCCGCAUAACAUUCCUUGGAUUAACUUUCGAGGAUUCAAAGCAGCAAUGCGUCGGAGGAGGAGCCCGCGCCCGAUUAGCUAGUUGGUGAGGUAACGGCUCACCAAGGCAAUGAUCGGUAGCUGGUCUGAGAGGAUGGCCAGCCACACUGGGACUGAGACACGAUCCAGACUCCUACGGGAGGCAGCAGUGGGGAAUCUUGCACAAUGGGCGAAAGCCUGAUGCAGCGACGCCGCGUGGGGGAUGAAGCUUUUCGGAGUGUAAACCCCUUUCGACUGGGACGAAUGCCUCGCAAGAGGAGUGACGGUACCAGUAUAAGAAGCCCCGGCUAACUACGUGCCAGCAGCCGCGGUAAGACGUAGGGGGCCAGCGUUGUUCGGAAUUACUGGGUGUAAAGGGUUCGUAGGCGGUGUGGCAAGUCGGGAGUGAAAUCUCUGGGCUCAACCCAGAGACUGCUUCCGAAACUGCUGUGCUUGAGUGUGAGAGAGGCUCGUGGAAUUGCAGGUGUAGCGGUGAAAUGCGUAGAUAUCUGCAGGAACACCCGUGGCGAAAGCGGCGAGCUGGAUCACUACUGACGCUGAGGAACGAAAGCUAGGGGAGCAAACAGGAUUAGAUACCCUGGUAGUCCUAGCCCUAAACGAUCAGGACUUGGGGUGCCGCCCGUUCGGGCGUCGUCCCGGAGCUAACGCGUUAAGUCCUGCACCUGGGGGAGUACGGUCGCAAGACUG